rnacentral:rRNA from 1 species
CACGUAGGGGACGAGCGUUGUCCGGAUUCAUUGGGCGUAAAGCGCGUGUAGGCGGCCCGGUAAGUCCGCUGUGAAAGUCGGGGGCUCAACCCUCGAAUGCCGGUGGAUACUGUCGGGCUAGAGUGCGGGAGAGGCGAGUGGAAUUCCUGGUGUAGCGGUGAAAUGCGCAGAUAUCAGGAGGAACACCAAUUGCGAAGGCAGCUCGCUGGAACGUAACUGACGCUGAGACGCGAAAGCGUGGGGAGCAAACAGG